rnacentral:rRNA from 1 species
AACGAACGCUGGCGGCAUGCCUAACACAUGCAAGUCGAACGAAGUCUUCGGACUUAGUGGCGCACGGGUGCGUAACGCGUGGGAAUCUGCCCUUGGGUACGGAAUAACUCAGAGAAAUUUGUGCUAAUACCGUAUAAUGUCGUAAGACCAAAGAUUUAUCGCCCAAGGAUGAGCCCGCGUAAGAUUAGCUAGUUGGUAGGGUAAAAGCCUACCAAGGCGACGAUCUUUAGCUGGUCUGAGAGGAUGAUCAGCCACACUGGGACUGAGACACGGCCCAGACUCCUACGGGAGGCAGCAGUGGGGAAUAUUGGACAAUGGGCGAAAGCCUGAUCCAGCAAUGCCGCGUGAGUGAUGAAGGCCCUAGGGUUGUAAAGCUCUUUUACCCGGGAUGAUAAUGACAGUACCUGGAGAAUAAGCUCCGGCUAACUCCGUG